GACGAACGCUGGCGGCGUGCUUAACACAUGCAAGUCGAACGAUGAAGCCUAGCUUGCUAGGUGGAUUAGUGGCGAACGGGUGAGUAAUACGUGAGUAACCUACCUUUAACUCUGGGAUAAGCCCGGGAAACUGGGUCUAAUACCGGAUACGACCAAUCUCCGCAUGGGGUGUUGGUGGAAAGCGUUAUGUAGUGGUUAUAGAUGGGCUCACGGCCUAUCAGCUUGUUGGUGAGGUAACGGCUCACCAAGGCGACGACGGGUAGCCGGCCUGAGAGGGUGACCGGCCACACUGGGACUGAGACACGGCCCAGACUCCUACGGGAGGCAGCAGUGGGGAAUAUUGCACAAUGGGCGCAAGCCUGAUGCAGCGACGCCGCGUGAGGGAUGAUGGCCUUCGGGUUGUAAACCUCUGUUAGCAGGGAAGAAGAGAGAUUGACGGUACCUGCAGAGAAAGCGCCGGCUAACUACGUG
rnacentral:rRNA from 1 species